CGGACGUGCUAGAAAUUCCAUUCGAGUGUUCGCCACUGCAUACUCGAGUGUAUCUUCGGCGCAAAGAAGUUGCAAGAAUAUUUAAAACAGCUGGAAUUCUCGCACGUUCGUGCAUCGACACAAAGAGGACGCGGUAAUAAUACAAAUUUGUUCUUUGAAAUUCAUUCGACUACGCCGGCUGAUAAAAAAGGAGGAACGAAAUGCGUUCAUAACCGGUCGCAUCGCCGUUUUUGCCUCGACCAUUAUCACGCGCAUGGGAUUCAGAAAUUCCGGCGACAGGAGUCCAGGGUCGAGGAAUGUCGGUUUCCAAAGAGAACGGUCUGUUUCCGGGAUGCAACGUCACUCGCUGAAAAUCGCUAUUUUUGCGUCCAUCGCGCGAGUCAGGGAGUUUUAUUUCUCCGAAGCGUUCUUCCGUCGUCCAGUCACGUAUCUGGGCUGCGCUUGUCCCGACAAAACGGCAUCACGAAACCCUGUAGCUUGGAUGGAUCGAAGCUAACCCACCAAAAAUAAGAAAACACGUCGG
rnacentral:misc_RNA from 1 species